rnacentral:lncRNA from 1 species
ACUGAACCCUGUCUUUCUUCUCAAGGACAUUCUGAGCAUGUGAGACCCGAGGACUGCAAACAGCUGCAAGAGGCUUCAAAUUCAGCAUAUCGUUCCUUUUGAGAAUCUGGCCAAGCUCCAGCAAAUCUACUUGGAUGGGUUGCCAGCCACCUGGAGAAGAAGAUCUUCCUCAGAAGAAUAGGCUUGUUGCUUUACAGUGUUAGUGAUCCAUUCCCUUUGACGAUCCCUAGGUGGAGAUGGGGCAUGAGGAUCCUCCAGGGGAAAAGCUCACUACCACUGGGCAACAACCCUAGGUCAGGAGGUUCUGUCAGGAUACUUUCCUGGUCCCAGAUAGGAAGAUAAAGUCUCAAAAACAACCACCACACGUCAAGGAGAACAUGGACAACUGUCACAUCAGUGACAUUGAUCACAUGGGCAAAUCAUUCUGUUCCAUCUGGUCCCCAAAGUCUCUCUUAAAGCCUUACAGAAGAACUUUGCCAAUCAUUUACAUACUUCGGGAUGGCUUGGGAUGCCAUGGGAUAUAAUACGACAAGUGAGAGCUCUUCAUUGUUCCUAUCUGCCAAAUCAUUACACUUCCUACAAGCAGUGCAGAGAACUGAGUCUUCAGCAGGUCCAAGAAAUUUGAACACAUUGAAGGAGGUCAGCCUUCCUACCUGAAGAUCAACAUGCUUGGCACUCUAGC